rnacentral:lncRNA from 1 species
CAAAAGCAAAAGAAAAAGCAAAAGCCUGCAUUAGAGAGAGUUUUUUUUUAUUUUUUUAAUUAUUACAUAAUCGUAUAAUAGUAUAACAUCUCCUCCAGCAGUAAUAGGCUCAUUGACCUGCAAACCAAAAAAAGAUUAGUGAAGAGUCAGUUCCAUUGUUGAUAAAUUAUACAGUCUUAUUGUCACAAGUUGGCUAUCCGGUUUUGAAAAUAAAGUUGGAAUAUGAUUACUUUUUAUUUGUAUUUAUGUUUUGGAGAUUAUACUACAUGCACGCAUUUUAUGAAUUAGGAAAAUGAUAUUAAUGGAGAUCCCAUUGCAAAAUAUAUGAAAGAACAAAACGAGAGGACAGAUAAAAACAAUUUGGACCAGUAAGAUAAUGAAGGAAUUAUAACUAAGCAACUAUGGCUCUUCUACUGUGUUUCAUUGGUGUGGUCAUUAUGGCUUGGUAGAAAUGAACUGCUUAAUAACAUUAACAAAAAUUGGUUUUGGAAAGACGGAAAGGUUUAUCAAAACGAAAUACCAAAGAAUUGGUUUUGGAGAAGUUUAGCAAGAAAGUUGUGGGAGAAAGGGAAAGUAGGUUCCUGGUUUUCGAUUUCAUCCAUCUGAGGAAGAGCUCGUAGCGUUUUUGUCUUAGACCAAAAGUUGACAGGAAACCCCUCAGAAUCGACCUAAUCAAACGUAUUGAUAUUUACAAGUUUGAUCCCUGGGAUCUCCCAAGUACGUUCUAAAAUUCGGUUAAUAUACGAGAUUGCACCAGUGCCAACACAACGCACCGCAUCACCAUUAAAACCAGCAAGGAAAAAGGUCGACGGUGAGAAUCCAGUGGGUCUCGUUUUAACCCACCCAUAUUUUUGGGGAAAAGAACCAGUUACCAAUGAGGUUAGGAAUCCAGCCAUAAGGGCGAAAAUGGAAGGGAUUGGCAAUUGGUGUAGCUGAAAAGGAUAUACUGAGAUAUAGAGGGUCUAGUUCUGGUUCUCUGAUAGUUUUGGGAGAUAUUCAAAACAAUAAGAUGGGGUUUUAGGUUUGUUUACAGUUGGGAGAAAAUUUUUUUAGAUGCUUUAAAAGUUCGUAAACAAAUUUUUUGAGUACUUUAAAAAUUAGAAAACAAUAUUUUGAACUCCUUUCAGUUUUGGACGUUGGACGGCAACAUCUCCGGACGAUCCAGGGCCGGGUCUGCUGGUACAACUACGGAGAAGUUAAAGAACAGUGGGUGGGGUGGUGAAGUGGAGAUGAUGGAGGGUCAAGUAGAAGACCAUGGAGGAAAGCUUCAAAAGAUUGAAAUCUGAGAUGGAAGAAAUAAGCAAGGAACAAAAGAAUAUCAGGGAAGUGCAAAGGCAAGUAAAAGAGAAAUUCGGAAUCAUCGAAUCCGAGUGCGAGGAAUUGAAGAGGGAAACUAGGCUCAUAAUCCAGCGAAGUGCCAGAAGUCAGGUUAAACUUGCUCCUCCAAUUUUCUUUAGUAUAUUACAAAUAGUGGGAAGUCAUUAGCAAGGCUCUUCCUUAGAUCUUAAGGCUUUAACCAUGUGCCCCUUCCUUUGGGUUGUUGACAGGUUAAACUUGCUCUUAUGUGUUCCAUUUAAGCAAGCCACUAAGCUAAAGAAGUUGCAGAGUUCAUGAACCAGGGUAAGGCCAGUAGCUGUAAGAAAGCAGCAAAAGAAGAAGAAGAUGGUGGCUUUGUUUUUGGACGGCUGCUUAUUGGUCAUUAUGGUUGGCUAGGAAUGAACUAAUUUUCCAGAGAAAGAUUUUGCCUAUCGAUGAAAUUAUCUUCCUAACCAAUCAUCGAUCAUUACAAAGAAUAUAGAAACCUGUUUCAUUCCUUAAGGCAAAAUUUGAGGGUAAUGGGGGGAGUUGUCAAGACCACUUGCAACUGUGGAACAACUUUCUCUGGUUGUCUGAAGCAAAAGGUUAAUGAAGGAAAAACAAAACCCAAAAAGAAAGAAAAUUACCGAGCGGAAGAGAGGCAAAUACAUCAUUUUGGAGCAGUUGCAGUUGCAGUUGCAGUUGCAGUUGCAGUUGCAGUUGCAGUUGCAGGAAGCUCAACAUCAGCUGGGACAUUUGUUUCUGCAUAUGUUCGGCCUCUCAUAUAUUUAUAAAUAAUUGCAGAAAUUAUGAAGGCAGCCAGAAGCAAAGCCAAAGUUGCCCAUUUCGCAUCAAACUUGAACCUUUCAGUUACGGUAACACUCAUUGUUGAGGAGGAGUUAUUGUUUGCCUCCAUAUUUUUUUUCAAGUCUCUAAUGAAAUGAAAAUGGAAAUGGCCAGAGGGUAAGCUCUAAUGGAUUUUGUAUUUUUU